CAGCAGUUGAGUGAUGUGACAC
rnacentral:piRNA from 1 species